UGGGGAAUUUUGGACAAUGGGCGCAAGCCUGAUCCAGCCAUGCCGCGUGCAGGAUGAAGGCCUUCGGGUUGUAAACUGCUUUUGUACGGAACGAAAAGUCUCUUUCUAAUAAAGAGGGAUCAUGACGGUACCGUAAGAAUAAGCACCGGCUAACUACGUGCCAGCAGCCGCGGUAAUACGUAGGGUGCAAGCGUUAAUCGGAAUUACUGGGCGUAAAGCGUGCGCAGGCGGUGAUGUAAGACAGUUGUGAAAUCCCCGGGCUCAACCUGGGAACUGCAUCUGUGACUGCAUCGCUGGAGUGCGGCAGAGGGGGAUGGAAUUCCGCGUGUAGCAGUGAAAUGCGUAGAUAUGCGGAGGAACACCGAUGGCGAAGGCAAUCCCCUGGGCCUGCACUGACGCUCAUGCACGAAAGCGUGGGGAGCAAACA
rnacentral:rRNA from 1 species